GGGGGAGGGGGGAGCAUGGAAGCUGACACUGGAGAGCUAUCAACAUACAAUGCUUAUUUCAAUCAAACUGGAGUUGGUCUAUUGGUUCAGAAGGGAUUUCAGGCGAAGAGUUGGAUGCAUCAGAAUGAUGUGAUAAGUACAUCCUGAUACUGCUUCCCUUUCAACUACCGGGUCCAAGAUUUCGAUUAAUCCAUUGCAAUCACCACAGGAUUUCUCCUGGAUUUUUACACUGGGUGGGCUUGUUUGGGUGUUCUUCAGGGUUCUGAUGCUAAUUUCUAUGCGGCCGUUGCCCAUCAGUCCUAAAUUUCUCAUUCGGUGAAAGUAAUGGCAGUAACGGCAGCAGAAGCUAAAGUUACGCGCCUUCCAAUCCUUAAACAUCCCGACUCCUUUCCCUUUCUUUUGGCGUGAAUAUUGCUUUAUAUUAGGUUAUCUCUAUGGUCUAAUCGUAUUCUUUAUGUAUACUAACUACCGAACUACAUUGGAAAGUUCUUUUUUUUUCCCAGUUCAUUGAAUGUUAAUUUCUUGUAAUGUAAUGUUUUACAGUUUGUGCUCACCAAAUUGAACGGAGCUCAUGGGUGAAUUACAUAUGCUUUUGAAAUUCAGUACACUUAAAAAAAUUUUGUGUCUUAAAUUUUACUUAGGACUGGUGUAUUUUGGGAAUAAGAAGAUAUAAAUCUCUUAAUUUUAAACUGAAUUUCUGUUUUUCUUCUGGGGAAAAUUUUAUUGUGAAACUUAGGUCUUAUGCUUGGGUAAAAUGGGUAACUAGAGAACAAGUGGUUCCAAGGCAAUCAAUUGAAGGAAGUGUGAAGCAAAAAACAGGAGAAAAGGCUGAUUAAACAACACCGAGUAACAAUGUUCUGUUAUGAUGGCUCAGAUACUAAGGGUCUUGAAAGCUACACAACCACCAUAGCUUACCAAGAUCGACAGUGAUUUCAUAACUCUGCCCUCCUUACUUUCCAUUUUUUAUUUUCUGUAUAUUUUUUUAUAUGAAUUUUUAACUGUGUACAUUUUUUUUAUGAAAGACAAUGUUUUGUCAUUCGAUUAUUUUGAACCAAAUUGUGAAAUCGGUUAAUGUAUCAGCUUCUGAUUUUUAUAAGUUCUGUGAUGGGAUAUUUCAGGUUAUGAAAGCAGUUGAAGCUAUCGAAGGCUACUAUUAAGGCACAGACCCCGUCCAAGGUUCCAGAGGGAGUGUGUUGAGCGCAAUAACAAGCUGUUGUACUACAUCCUUGAUUGCCUUAGCAUGGGUUCAUCAUCAAGGUUGAAAAUUUGGAGAUCAGCAGCAAGGCCUUGAAAAUUUGGGCCCUCUCCCUUAAAAUAGGCUGGACUAGAAGUAGGUGUCGGAUAGACAAGUGCCGUUAACCAAAAAAAAUAAAAAUAAAAAUGGCUGAUUGUUGGAUGCAGGUACAAUUGCUUAGAGUUGCCAAAAUGAUUGACCCUUGUGUAGGAGGAGAUUUUACAAUACUAGAGGCAUUCAAUAUGCUUAAAAUGGGGGUUUUAUGCAGCCAAGCUAAUGCAAUUUUGAGGCCUGAUGAGGUUGUUUAGGUGCUCCGAGUUGUACCUAUGCAAUUGUUGAACCAAAUGAAUAGCCAGGGCAAGAUGUUGGUUUGCCUGCUGACAAUUCGACUGUGUUGUAAAGCUACUGGAGUGAAAUAGUUGACAAUAAAAUAGAGAAAUUGUUAGAAUUAGUUUAUAAGAAAAGGAAUGGGCAGAUUGUUUCAUAAAGAGGCUAAAGAUUGAAACGUACUUAGUGCAGAUGAAAAAA